AGAGUUUGAUCAUGGCUCAGAACGAACGCUGGCGGCGUGCCUAACACAUGCAAGUCGAACGCGAAAACCUUCGGGUGAGUAGAGUGGCGCACGGGUGAGUAACGCGUAGGUAAUCUACCCUUGAGUUUGGAACAACAUUCCGAAAGGAGUGCUAAUUCCGAAUAAGACUCUAAGUACUUCGGUACCAAUAGCCAAAGAGGACCUCUUCUUGAAAGUUCUCGCUUAAGGAUGAGCCUGCGUCUCAUUAGCUUGAUGGUGGGGUAAUGGCCUACCAUGGCGAAGAUGGGUAGCUGGUCUGAGAGGAUGAUCAGCCACACUGGAACUGAAACACGGUCCAGACUCCUACGGGAGGCAGCAGUGGGGAAUUUUGCGCAAUGGGGGAAACCCUGACGCAGCAACGCCGCGUGGAGGACGAAGGCCCUUGGGUCGUAAACUCCUGUCAGCAGAGAAGAAAGAUAUUAUGGUUAAUACCCAUAGUGUUUGACGGUACCUGCAGAGGAAGCACCGGCUAACUACGUGCCAGCAGCCGCGGUAAUACGUAGGGUGCAAGCGUUGUUCGGAAUCAUUGGGCGUAAAGCGUGCGUAGGCGGAUUGAUAAGUCAGGUGUGAAAGCCCACAGCUUAACUGUGGAACUGCGCUUGAAACUAUUAGUCUAGAGGAUGGUAGAGGCGGUGGAAUUCCAGGUGUAGAGGUGAAAUUCGUAGAUAUCUGGAGGAACACUCGUGGCGAAGGCGGCCUGCUGGGCCAUUCCUGACGCUGAGGCACGAAAGCGUGGGUAGCAAACAGGAUUAGAUACCCUAGUAGUCC
rnacentral:rRNA from 1 species